rnacentral:rRNA from 1 species
AUACGUAGGUGGCAAGCGUUGUCCGGAUUUACUGGGCGUAAAGGAUGUGUAGGCGGAUGUUUAAGUGAGAUGUGAAAUACCCGAGCUCAACUUGGGUGCUGCAUUUCAAACUGGAUAUCUAGAGUGUAGGAGAGGAAAGCGGAAUUCCUAGUGUAGCGGUGAAAUGCGUAGAGAUUAGGAAGAACACCAGUGGCGAAGGCGGCUUUCUGGACUGUAACUGACGCUGAGGCAUGAAAGCGUGGGGAGC